rnacentral:rRNA from 1 species
GUGAUCUUUGAUGGUACUAAUUACACCGAGUUCACUGGCUUUAUGCGCAUUCACAUGCGUGGCAUCCGUCUCUGGGGUGUUCUUUCUGGCGAGGUCUGUUGUCCGUCACGUCCGGUUCCUCCGGUUGCCCCUACUCCGCCGACUCCACUGGUUCUUCCUACGGAUGCUAAUCAGGCCGCCAAGGAUGCGGCUAAGCUUGCUGAUGAGGCUGCUGAUCGUGCUUAUGAUGAGCGGGUUUUGGCUUAUGAGGAGGCUCUUCAGACGUAUCAUGGUGCUCUGUCUGUUUACACCCAGUGGCUUGAUGAUGAUGCUCGUGCUGCAGCUGUUCUCACUGCUAGUGUUCUGCCUCAGUUUGCUUCUGAGUUUCUGGGUCUUCCUACUGUCUUUCAGAUGUGGACCUGUCUUCGUCAGCGCUAUGAGCCCUCUGGUGAUGCCUUAUACCUUUCUGUGGUUCGUCAGGAGCAUGCUCUUCAGCAGGGUGACUCUACUGUUGAUGACUUCUAUGCACAGAGUUCUGCUAUCUGGCGCCAGCUUGAUUCUCUCCACAGUGCUGGUUGUCGUACUUGCCCCUAUUGCCAGGCUGUCCAGGCCAAUUUGGAGUUUCAUCGCGUCUACGAGUUCCUGUCUCGGCUCCGUAAGGAGUUUGAGCCCCGGCGUGCUCAGUUGUUUGCUCGUGGCCGUAUUUCUCUCAUGGAGGCGCUUUCAGAGAUUCGUGCUGAGGAGACUCGCUUACGUGGUGCUGGUUUGCUGGAGGUUCCCUCUGUGCUCGCUACUCGGGCUUCUUCCACUCCACCUGCUGCACCGACCCCCUCUCGCUCGAGUACUCCGCCGCUCUUGCCCACUCCUUCUGGAGGCUCAGGUCGCCCCCGUCCACAUUGUGACUACUGCAACAAUGAUGGUCAUAUUGAGUCCCAGUGCUACACAAAGCGGAAACACCUGCGCAAGGCGCGAUCAUCAUCCUCAGGGACUUCGUCAUCUCCCUCGACAGCUUCAGCCAUUGCUUUGACUGAGCAGGAUAUUCUGAGACUUAAGCGUCUGCUCGCGGCUUCAGGUUCUUCCUCGACGGGUACUGCUGGUUCUGUGACUGAUGCUUCCCGCACUGAGCAACCGCCCUCUACACAGUCAGGUACAUCCCCAUGGGUUCUGGAUUCUGGAGCUUCUUUUCAUAUGUCUUCUCAUUCUUCCACUUUGUCCUCUCUUCGAUCGCUGGAUUCUCCUGUUCAUGUCUUCACUGCUGAUGGUACUCCACUUUCUGUUGCUAGUAGAGGCAAUCUUUCCACUCCUUCUUAUUCUGUUCCUGAUGUUGCUCAUGUUCCUCGACUUACCAUGAAUCUGUUUUCUGCUGGUCAACUUACUGAUUCUGGUUGUCGUGUCAUCCUUGACGUUGACUCUUGUUCUGUCCAGGACCGUCGCACGCACACUCUGGUUGGGGCUGGCCCUCGCCGUGAUUCUCAGGGUCUUUGGGAGUUGGACUGGCUUCAUGUUCCUUCCGCUGCCACCACCAUCGCCAGUUCCUCCGCUUCUGUUGCCUCUGUUACUGGUUCCUUCAAGCAGUGGCAUCAUCGACUUGGUCAUCUGUGUGGUUCUCGGUUGUCGUCUUUAGUUCGUCGAGGUCUUCUGGGGUCUGUCUCAGGAGAUGUCUCUUUAGAGUGUCAGGGUUGUCGUCUUGGCAAGCAGAUUCAGUUACCAUAUUCACAUAGUGAGUCAGUGUCUAAGCGUCCUUUCGAUUUAGUCCAUUCUGAU